UACGAAGGGGGCUAGCGUUGCUCGGAAUCACUGGGCGUAAAGCGCACGUAGGCGGAUUGUUAAGUCAGGGGUGAAAUCCUGGAGCUCAACUCCAGAACUGCCUUUGAUACUGGCGAUCUCGAGUCCGGGAGAGGUGAGUGGAACUGCGAGUGUAGAGGUGAAAUUCGUAGAUAUUCGCAAGAACACCAGUGGCGGAGGCGGCUCACUGGCCCGGUACUGACGCUGAGGUGCGAAAGCGUGGGGAGCAAACAGG
rnacentral:rRNA from 1 species